AAAAAAAAAAAAAAAAAAAAAAAAAAAACCUCCCAAGUAGCUGGGAUUACAGGCACCCAUCAUCAUGCCCGGCUAAUUUUUGUAUUUUUAUAGAGACAGGGUUUCAUCAUGUUGGCCAGGCUGGUCUCGAACUCCUGAUCUCAAGUGAUCUGCCCACCUUGGCCUCCCAAAGUGCUGGAAUUACCCAGUGUACUCUUCAUGGGCAUUUAGGUUGUUUCCAUUAUUUUA
rnacentral:lncRNA from 1 species